rnacentral:rRNA from 1 species
CAGCCGCCGCGGUAAUCCGGAGGGUGCAAGCGUUAAUCGGAAUUACUGGGCGUAAAGCGUGCGUAGGCGGUGAGUUAAGUCUGCUGUGAAAUCCCCGGGCUCAACCUGGGAAUGGCAGUGGAUACUGGCUCGCUAGAGUGUGUCAGAGGAUGGUGGAAUUCCCGGUGUAGCGGUGAAAUGCGUAGAGAUCGGGAGGAACAUCAGUGGCGAAGGCGGCCAUCUGGGACAACACUGACGCUGAGGCACGAAAGCGUGGGGAGCAAACAGGAUUAGAGACCCCCGUAGUCCCUGUCUCUUAUAA